GGGGUGUGACUGCGUACCUUUUGUAUAAUGGGUCAGCGACUUAUAUUCUGUAGCAAGGUUAACCGAAUAGGGGAGCCGAAGGGAAACCGAGUCUUAACUGGGCGUUAAGUUGCAGGGUAUAGACCCGAAACCCGGUGAUCUAGCCAUGGGCAGGUUGAAGGUUGGGUAACACUAACUGGAGGACCGAACCGACUAAUGUUGAAAAAUUAGCGGAUGACUUGUGGCUGGGGGUGAAAGGCCAAUCAAACCGGGAGAUAGCUGGUUCUCCCCGAAAGCUAUUUAGGUAGCGCCUCGUGAACUCAUCUUCGGGGGUAGAGCACUGUUUCGGCUAGGGGGUCAUCCCGACUUACCAACCCGAUGCAAACUGCGAAUACCGAAGAAUGUUAUCACGGGAGACACACGGCGGGUGCUAACGUCCGUCGUGAAGAGGGAAACAACCCAGACCGCCAGCUAAGGUCCCAAAGUCAUGGUUAAGUGGGAAACGAUGUGGGAAGGCACAGACAGCCAGGAUGUUGGCUUAGAAGCAGCCAUCAUUUAAAGAAAGCGUAAUAGCUCACUGGUCGAGUCGGCCUGCGCGGAAGAUGUAACGGGGCUAAACCAUGCACCGAAGCUGCGGCAGCGACACUAUGUGUUGUUGGGUAGGGGAGCGUUCUGUAAGCCGUUGAAGGUGUACUGUGAGGUAUGCUGGAGGUAUCAGAAGUGCGAAUGCUGACAUAAGUAACGAUAAUGCGGGUGAAAAACCCGCACGCCGGAAGACCAAGGGUUCCUGUCCAACGUUAAUCGGGGCAGGGUGAGUCGACCCCUAAGGCGAGGCCGAAAGGCGUAGUCGAUGGGAAACAGGUUAAUAUUCCUGUACUUGGUGUUACUGCGAAGGGGGGACGGAGAAGGCUAUGUUAGCCGGGCGACGGUUGUCCCGGUUUAAGCAUGUAGGCGGAGGUUCCAGGUAAAUCCGGUACCUUUUAACGCUGAGGUGUGAUGACGAGGCACUACGGUGCUGAAGUAACAAAUGCCCUGCUUCCAGGAAAAGCCUCUAAGCAUCAGGUAACACGAAAUCGUACCCCAAACCGACACAGGUGGUCAGGUAGAGAAUACCAAGGCGCUUGAGAGAACUCGGGUGAAGGAACUAGGCAAAAUGGUGCCGUAACUUCGGGAGAAGGCACGCUGAUAUGUAGGUGAAGUGAUUUACUCAUGGAGCUGAAAUCAGUCGAAGAUACCAGCUGGCUGCAACUGUUUAUUAAAAACACAGCACUGUGCAAACACGAAAGUGGACGUAUACGGUGUGACGCCUGCCCGGUGCCGGAAGGUUAAUUGAUGGGGUUAUCCGUAAGGAGAAGCUCUUGAUCGAAGCCCCGGUAAACGGCGGCCGUAACUAUAACGGUCCUAAGGUAGCGAAAUUCCUUGUCGGGUAAGUUCCGACCUGCACGAAUGGCGUAAUGAUGGCCAGGCUGUCUCCACCCGAGACUCAGUGAAAUUGAACUCGCUGUGAAGAUGCAGUGUACCCGCGGCAAGACGGAAAGACCCCGUGAACCUUUACUAUAGCUUGACACUGAACACUGGUCCUUGAUGUGUAGGAUAGGUGGGAGGCUUUGAAGUGUGGACGCCAGUCUGCAUGGAGCCAUCCUUGAAAUACCACCCUUUAAUGGCUGGUGUUCUAACGUAGACCCGUAAUCCGGGUUGCGGACAGUGUCUGGUGGGUAGUUUGACUGGGGCGGUCUCCUCCUAAAGAGUAACGGAGGAGCACGAAGGUUAGCUAAUCCUGGUCGGACAUCAGGAGGUUAGUGCAAAGGCAUAAGCUAGCUUGACUGCGAGAGUGACGGCUCGAGCAGGUGCGAAAGCAGGUCUUAGUGAUCCGGUGGUUCUGAAUGGAAGGGCCAUCGCUCAACGGAUAAAAGGUACUCCGGGGAUAACAGGCUGAUACCGCCCAAGAGUUCAUAUCGACGGCGGUGUUUGGCACCUCGAUGUCGGCUCAUCACAUCCUGGGGCUGAAGUAGGUCCCAAGGGUAUGGCUGUUCGCCAUUUAAAGUGGUACGCGAGCUGGGUUUAGAACGUCGUGAGACAGUUCGGUCCCUAUCUGCCGUGGGCGCUGGAGAAUUGAGGGGGGCUGCUCCUAGUACGAGAGGACCGGAGUGGACGCAUCACUGGUGUUCGGGUUGUCAUGCCAAUGGCAUUGCCCGGUAGCUAAAUGCGGAAGAGAUAAGUGCUGAAAGCAUCUAAGCACGAAACUUGCCCCGAGAUGAGUUCUCCCUGACUCCUUGAGAGUCCUGAAGGAACGUUGAAGACGACGACGUUGAUAGGUCGGGUGUGUAAGUGUAGCGAUACAUUGAGCUAACCGAUACUAAUGAACCGUGAGGCUUAACCUU
rnacentral:rRNA from 1 species